rnacentral:lncRNA from 1 species
CAGGAAUUCAUUCAGCAUGGUCUAUACAUUUCUUUUUGAGGUCCCUGACAUGCAAGUGCUGAUCCAGCAGUGAGCAUGGGGCGAUUAGAAUGUCCAGGGAGACACAGCUGCCUAACACACACCCCUCAGCUCCAAAACUGAGUAGUUGCAUACAGGCCUAUUGGGCUGAAAUACCGAUUUUUCUAAUGUCAACUUACUGUCCAAUACAGAGAUUAUAGUUAGCUAGUGAGUAAGAUGACUAUGCUGUUCUGCUUUUCUAUUUCACACUGAAGAUUUUCAGAUGAGGUUCUAUCAUUACUGGCACAGACAAGUGAAAAGGGG